GNAGGNGGCAAGCGNNGUCCGGACCUACUGGGUGUAAAGGGCGNNUAGGCGGACNGUCAAGNCAGUCGUGAAAUACCGGGGCNUAACCCCGGGGCNGCGAUNGAAACNGACAGCCUNGAGNAUCGGAGAGGAAAGCGGAAUNCCUAGUGUAGCGGUGAAAUGCGUAGAUAUUAGGAGGAACACCAGUGGCGAAGGCGGCUUUCUGGACGACAACUGACGCNGAGGCGCGAAAGUGUGGGGAGCAAACAGGAUUAGAUACCCUGGUAGUCCACACCGUAAACGAUGGAUACUAGGUGUAGGAGGUAUCGACCCCUUCUGUGCCGCAGUUAACACAAUAAGUAUCCCACCUGGGGAGU
rnacentral:rRNA from 1 species